AUGUCCUUUUGGCGCAUCUUUUGUUUUCAACACCUCUACUGCAUCAAGGACGGAGAUACCGGAGCGGUACGCGGACACAUGAUCAGGAUUUUCCCUUCAGAAUCACGUCGCCCUCCAGGAGAAAUCUCGCUUCAGCUGCCUGCAUCUGCGUGCAGAGACGGAGCCAUGGAUGAGAGGAAGCUGGAGCAGCAGGUGGCCAGUGUAGGGAGAGGGAUCGCCUUCUUGGAGCAGGAGCACCUGGCCAUGCUGACCGGCCUGCGGCUGGAGAUCACACACCUGAGGAGGCGCUGUCAUGAGCUAAGCUGUGAGUUGGAGUCCAGGUUUCCUGACAGAAUCAUCGGAGAGGAGGAAGCAGAACUGGCCACACGGUGUGAGGCUGCAGUGCUUCUCUUAGAGGACCAGCAGUGCAUGAUGGUCGCCGCGCGUGGGGAGCUGCGGGCCGGCCGGGCCAGAGCGUCAGCCCUGGGAAGAAGCCUCAGAGAAGAGGAGCGGAGUUUCCUGGAGGAGCUGAAGCGCAGGAGCCACCAGAUCACGCUGCUGAAUCCGGCAGAGCGCAGAGACAUCUGGAGAGGAGGAAGCAAGGCGGGAUGAGGAGGAGGAAGAGGAUGACGAAGAGGAGGAGGGCGGUGAUAAUGAAGAUGAAGGAUCGUUGUGGCUUUUGUCCCCACCUCCGCCAGCCUCCCCUCAUCUUCCAGAGGCGAGUCACAGGGGGCGUGUCAGCAGCGUCAGGGAGGAGAGGGUCCGAGCUUGCGUCCCUCAGGAGAGAGUGACAUCGCCUCAAAGGCCACACCCUAUGCCUGACCCCGCCCUCUUCUUGUUUCCACUAAGAUACCGCCUCCUUCGCUAUAACCCUCCAAUCAAAACACCGGACGGAGAUGGGCUGGAGGAUGAAUGGGAGGACAUAGAGGACAUCAGGGUACACAGGCGGGUGGACAUGGAGGCAGGAGAAGGAGAAACUGCACUGUGAUGAUGGUAUUCAAGACUGUGAUGUCUUCCACAAAGUCUCAGUUAACCUGAUGUGAUGUUCCAGAAAAUGGUAAUGAUUGAAGCGGGGCUUUCUGUAGGUUUCAGGUUAAGUAUUUAGAGUUAGUUGGGUGUGUGUGUGAUUUUAGUCACAAGUCAACUUAAAAUGCCCCAUCAGUGGAUCAGAAAAUAAGGAUCAGCACUAAUGGACUUUCCUCUGGACGCCUCUUGAUUAUAACACUGUUGAUCACAGCUUUUGCCCGUAAUUAGUAGCCUUGUCUGUGAGCGUGUAAACAUUUCCAGCCUCUAAAGUGGGCCCCUGAUUUUUCACAGCACCAGUUGUAAUCGAGGGGAAUUGCAUCACUUCUAAAGGCUUUGAUAUAUUUUGUAUAAUUUGCACUUUAUUAAAUCCAUGCAAUGUGGCUAGUAAUGGCCCAGUAAUUGUGGUGUGAGACUGUUUGUUUACAGC
rnacentral:lncRNA from 1 species